UUCGCUCCAAAAAAUUUGAUCAAGGAAAAAAAAUAAAAGUUUAUGAGGUCGAAAACAAGGAAGCACUUGUUUUUUAUUUCCAUUUGAUAGCAAUUUUUCUUUCCUACAACUCUCGAUCAUCUCUGUUACGAUCUCUCAAUCACAGUCCCGUUCCUCUUACUUUCAAUCUCGAUAUCUGUCGAUCUCCGUAUCGUGCCCUCUCCGUCUCAGUCUUGUUUUUGAUCUCUGUCUUGAUAUUCCACUUGCAAUCUCGUUCCUCUUAAAGUCUAAAUCGUCGCCAUCUACAUCGGUAAAUCGAAUGGUGUAAUCGAAUUUGACAUUGAAGUAAGAGCUCGAUGAGACUUAAGUCAAAACUUAAAAGCUUUUCAUUUCUUGUGGGGAAGUUGCAUCUUCCCAGGUCGAUGUACUUCGUUUACUGAACCAAAGCCUUGAGAGUUUGUUAAAUGAGAGAUGUGAGAAUACGAUGGACUAUGUAAAAAGGCUUAGGCUUUGCAUUAAAUGGUUUCAAGAACUCGAGUUAGAUUAAGUGUUUGAACAAGAGAGGGAGGUUCAUGACGAAGUGAAUCUAACGAGAGAAAAAAACAAUUGAACCAGGUCUAGGUAGAAGUUUCCAAGAUUGGUAGUGCAAAUGUGUGGAGACCAAAUUUAGAAAUCAAAUAUACUUGGUCUAUGUCAGAAAAUGAGUUUAUGUUUCUAUAAUAUUUUUCUAUGGUUUUAAUAUCAUAAGGUAU